rnacentral:misc_RNA from 1 species
GAUGAAGAACGUAGCGAAAUGCGAUAAGUAAUGUGAAUUGCAGAAUUCAGUGAACCAUCGAAUCUUUGAACGCACAUUGCGCCCGGCAGUAAUCUGCCGGGCAUGCCUGUCCGAGCGUCAUUUCUGCCCUCGAGCGAGUCCAGCAUCUAGGUGCUGGGCCCGCCCGGCGUUGGGGCACUACGGGAAGCCCUGUGCUGUCCCCCGUAGGCCCCGAAAUGAAGUGGCGGUCCUGCCGCGGCGCCCCCUGCGUAGUAUAACAGCUCGCCUCGGGACCCGGUGGAGGCCUGCCGUCAAACCUUACUCUCUAAGUUUGACCUCGGAUCAGGUAGGGUUACCCGCUGAACUUAAGCAUAUCAAUAAGCGGAGGA